AAGCGGCUGAGCGGCUGGGAUACAAGUGGUUGAGCAGCAAACAGAGAAGCAGCAACUGAGUGUCCGAGACCACAGAUAGACACGGCUAACUUCAGAUGGUGCAGCUUCAGGGAAAGAUCACCUUCUUCCUGCACCAUCCCUUUUCCAAUUCUCCAUCCCACUGAAAACUGCUUUUAUUACCCAAUAAAAUCCUCCACACACACUACCCUUCAACCCAUUCAUGGGACCUCAUUCUUCCCAGAUGCUGGACGAGAACUCAGGUGCCGAGAGGGCAGGGGCUCGGAGGCUGCUGCGGGGCCCACACAGAGCCUGUUCUCACCAGAGAGAAGUGACCCCCGGUUCCAGUAUUCACUCACUCCAGUUCCCGCACUCGCUUGCUUGUGUAGCAGGACAAGCCGCAGACAAAACCCCUCAGACACCGAGUUAAAGAAGGAAGGGUUUUAUUCGGCUGGAAGGUUCAGCAAGACUCACGUCUCCAACAACUGAGCUCCCCAGACUUGGUGUCUCCCUCUAUUGCCCAGGCUGGAGUGCAGUGGCAUAAUCAGAUUAUGUCUCCUGGGCUCAAGUGACCUUCCUGCUUCAGUCUCCCAACUUGCUGGGACUACAGAAGCAGUCAGAGGAGCUGCCAGCUUCCAUUCCAGUAUAAUAUAUAAAUGGGAUGCUUUCAACAGGACAAGAUGAAAGGGAAAAGAGUUAGCCAGCAUCGGCAAGCUUUAGUAAAGACCCCUCUUCUCCCUAUACAUCUGUAACAUCAAUUAGAGACUUGCUUUCUAGCUAACUCCUUUUUUAAGACAAAAUCCCUUAUGAAAGUUAAACCUUAUAUUCUCACCUUAGUAUAAAUUUCUUUAAUCAGACAAUUAAAUUGCUUUCUUUUGAAUACUUAGAAUCACGAACAGAUUUUUUUUUUUUCAUUUUAAUUAAUUUUUUUGGGUGGUAAUAGUGACUCGGACCAUGUAACACUUAGGAGAGAAAAUUCAAUGAGAAAGUGGGGAAGCUUUGGGAAGCUGAAGGGGAGCUGAAAAACACUGCUCCCUGAAAAAGUGAGAAGGAUAAGGGAAAAGCUGAAGAUUGGAAGAAGAGAAGGCCCAACCAAAAUUUUUCCUUCGUGUAAUUUUGUGUGUGUGUGUGUGUGUGGACUCAACUCUUUGUCUUCAUCCGCUGAAAAAUCACCCAAAUGACCAUUGUCCUAUGGGAUGAAGGUAAUUACCAAUUCCUUGAACAGAACUAAUAGCCCGUCAAGAUAGUUUCCCAGGAAAUAAAUGGCGAGGUUGCAGCAGUCACUCAUCCAAUCAGAGUACUAAAAAAAAGCCAUUCUCAUCUGGGAGGAGUUGUUGCCCUAUUAGAUAUAUGUGGCUGGAAAUGUUAUCUCGGUUGCAGAAAGAUUUUACCAAAAAAAACCCUGCUUUUGUUUGUUCUAAUGCCUCAGAAAUCUGUCCCCCAUGCUAUCUGAUCAUCCUGUGGCCAAUCCCUAAAAGGAAAACUGUUCCAGAAUGGGAUAUGAGCCACUGAAAUCUCAGAUAAGUAAAAAACAAUAUAUACAGUCACUAAAUAAUGCUUCCAGUAAGUAGGCCGUAAGAGAGAAGAGGUUGCUCUUAUCAAACAAAGGCUAAGAGAGAGAGAAACAAAUUUAGAAUGUUUUGCCAUGUCCAUGUAGCUUUUAAUUAUAUUGUCUUUUCAGAUUCUAAUACGGCAGAGAGGACCCAUGUUGGAAUGGCUGUGGCCAGUUUUCUACAGAGCCACCCUCUAUAUUGUUCAGUGGGACCUCACAUGGCAGAAUAAAGACCUAUAGUUAUAGGUGACAGUUCCAGCAAUGCAAUUUACUAAAUGAGAAUGUCAUAAAUGCUCUAGUGCUAAAGAGAUUCAUGUUAGGAUGCUGAAGGUUGGAGAAUAAAUUUAAGUGUCAUUUGGGGGUAGGCUUGGUGACCAACUAAUCUGUUGGCCCAGGGCUCUCCUGUUCCGUGUGUUGAACAGCCCCUCCGUUCCAGGCAAACCUGGACAAUUGAUCACCCACCCAGCAGACCAGGCUUGGUGAUUUAUAAGGCUUUUUUCAAACCCUAAAAUCCCUUUAUUCUGAUGCAUGUAUAUAUAAGUCCAGUGUUGCUUUCAUGAACUCUAUAAUAGAAAACAAUAAUGGUGUCAUUCACUCGGCCUAGAGGGCAGAGUGAUAGACUGGGAAGUGGUCGUUCUACCAGUAAACCACUGUGUGACCUUGGGAGAAAUCUGUCCUCUGUGAGUCUUUUUUUUUCCUCAAAGAGAAAAAAUUCACAGGAAUCUUUUAUAAGAUUCUUUCCAACUGUACCACUCUAUGGCUUUUUCCUAUGCAUUUGAAGUGUUUCAUGCUAGUCUUGAGAAGAUGCUCUUGCAUACCAAUUCUCCAUUUACCUGUGUGUUUAAGGACAGGGAGGGUGCAGUGAAGGAGGUGAGGAAUGCAAGAGUGUAGAGAUAAAAAUAAGGUGUAAAAAGGACAGCAAAAAAAGAAAAAAAAAGAAAAAACAUUCAGAGCUUUUAUUUCAAGGAAUCAGAGGAUAUAUUAUACAUCUAUUCAUUUUCUAUCACUGAAUUCCUUUUGGGGGCAUAACAAACAAAACCUCUCCUUCCCCCAUUUUAGCUACAGAGAGAAAAAGGAGUUUCUCUAAGGCUACACAGUAAAUUAAUGACAAAGGUAAGACGUCGAGUUUAUGUCUCCAGGACUGCACUAUUUACCUGCCAGGCUGUGCUGCCUAUGAAGUGUCCCUAACUAAAGUACCUGCUCCCUUCUCUUUUCAUUUUUGAACCAAAGAGGGAAGCAUUAUGUCUGAUAAAAGAAAACAUAGUAGAUAGGGAGUAAUUUUCAGGCUCCUGCUCUUCUCCCAACUCAUUGUCCAACCCUUGGCAUUGUUGACAAUUUCAGAUAUGGGUUAAAUACAGCAAGGGGAAGUCAAUGCUACACCUUAAAAAUUAAUUGUUCAAGUACUAGGUCAUUUCAGAGUAAUGCACCGUGAAAUUAUGUUAUUCUCCAGAAGAAUUUCCAUAAAGUUUAACAUGCCAUGACACAUUCUUUUUCCAUUGGAGUUAGUUUUUUAAAAAGUACAUAAAAAAGAGUCUUUGGAGUCCAGGGGUGUGUGUAAACCUUGCUGCAGACAAAGCAGAAUGUGUUAGGCAGGGCUUUCAGAGCAGCAGAUGCUACAGGAUCGCUGCUAAGGGAGACUCCAUUACCCAAGCAUUGCCUAUAAAAGCACGGCCUGGGCUGGUAUCUGCGGAGGCAAGCGCGGAAGAAGUCAUUAGUCUUGGUGCUUUUUUACUGUUAUUCACACUGGGAUAAUGAGAUUAUUGGAAUAUUUUUUUUUCCUAAUGAGAAUGAGACAGAAUACCUUGGUCUCUAAAUGAUUUAGUCACAGAGGGAACACAUUACUCUUCCCUUGAUUGCUGUCAAAUGCUGGAAAAUUGGAAUAUUAUAUUUAUCGUGAUGGGCAAUAUUUUUCCUGCCUUCUAGGUGUCAAAUGAGCUGGGAAAAAUAUUUGUCUGAAAAGCAGACUCCUUUACAAGGUUUACGGAAAGGAAGACAAAUGAAGAUGCAGGAUAAGGAUCUGGGGGCGGAGGUUAGAAGGAUAGGAUAAUUGGAGGAUGGCUUUUCGCUAUUUUUUUUUUUCCAACCGUAAAACUAUCCCCUUGUUUUGAUUUCCUACAUUCUUCUCUUCCAGUUAGCUCACCAGUGUUUGGGGCUAAUUAGACACUGUUUAGAUUCAGAAUAGAAGGUUAAUUUCAAGGGGAAAUGGGUUUGUGUUGGUCUGGAGGUCAUUAGUGCAGCUAGUUAAUUUGUGUUUCUUGGGAAGGAAUAACAUUCUGGGGCUGGAGAAUUUUUUUUGUAGGGGGAAGUAAGAAGGAUUUUUCAGUCUUAUUCUCAAGAACCUUUCACUUGAUACUUGUCAGCUCAAAGUUUAUGGGGCCAAUACAGACUAAUUGGUUGGCCUGGUGCAAUGAGUUUCAACACUGGUCAUAUAUGGGUGGCUUCGCAGCCAAGGUGAACAAAGAAAUCCCGAGUUCUAACUUCUGCUCCUGCCCCACCACCAAACUUCUUCUCCACGAAGGUCAAAAACAUCUGAAAAACAGACAAACAAAAAAUUAACAAGUAAAAUAUUUCAUGCUGUCAUUACGUGCUGGCUUUCAGAAGGCCAUCACCCUGUUUCUACAUCACAAUAAGAAAUGUUAGUGUUCUUGAUGUAACAGGUGGAAGAAUCUUACAGCAUGAGCAUUAGUCCUCUGAUUUGCAGAUACCACUCUUUAUUAGAUUCAUUCAGAGAUCUUAUAAAUAGAGAAAUUUCGGCUCACCCUCUGUGGGCUUAUUCAUCUGUAUUUUACAAUUUCCCAGAAAAUUUUGUUGCAGACUGUCUUCAGUAUUUGGGAAUGAAUGAAAUCCAACAGACAUGUUAUUAUAGAAGAGGGCAGGGCUUCUUAGGAAGUAAAUUGACUUGUCUAAGACAACACAACUAACAAGUGACAGAGCUGGGACUUGGUCUCAUAGCUAAGGGUGGUGGGAUUUGCUUGAUCCAUGCUGGAUCCUUGUUCUCUUAAUGCCUCAGUGGUCUGGUCUCUUCCUUCCUCCCUUUCCUCAUUUAACAGUGUGGCAUGUGAAUUGUCAGUAAUUAAUAGUUCUAUGGCGUUUGCUGACAUCUUCCUUUGUGCCUUCCUGUGAGGCUCUGAGACAUAAUCCUUACUCUUAAGGAACAAUUAGAUUUGCAGAAACAAAACACAUAGCCAUAAACAUAAACUAUGAUGGCUUUUAUAGGGAAAGGAGAUGCUCUAAAUGCUUAGGAUAGUUGAGGAGGGGGCCAGAUAUAGACAUAGAAGACAAUGUGGAAAUGAGAUGCAUGAUGUGGUCAAACUUAACACCUAGAAGCUUCUGGAAGCAGUUUUACAUUUCAUUAUCAACGUAUCUGUCAUUGUGUAUCACAAUGUCUUCUGAGAUCAAGGAUUGUAUCUUCUUGCCAUGAAUCCCCAGAAAGGUAAAAUUCCUUAGUUCCCGGAAAGAGGGCAUUCAUUUAGCAUAGAUAAAAUUGUCAAAAUCCAGCUCCUCCAUAAAAUUUCCCACCCCUGGCUAAGAACCUCUCCUUUGAAAUUCUAAAACCUACCUCUAUGGUGAAUGUAGUAAAAUCUAACUUAUAAUAUUAGUAUUUGUGUCUAUAAUUUAGCCCCAACUGAACUGUAUGCAAUUUGAAAGCAGAAACCAUACAUCUUGUUCAUUUCUGUAUCCCACUGCUGAAGAUUACUAGUGGGUCUUGCCUGUAAUUGGUGCCUGAUCUCUUUGUAUUAAAUUAAUAAAGCAGGCAAAAAGUGCCAUGGAAGGGAACCCCCUAAUGCAGUGAAUGGUUCUCUACUGCACCCUGACAUAUACCUCCUGUCUCAGUCUGUUUGUGCAGCUAUAUAACAGGAUACCACAAAAUAGGUAAUUUAUAAAGAAUGGACAUUUAUUUCCUCACAGUUUUGGAAGCUGGGAAGUUUAAGAUGAGGGUCUGGCAUCUGGUUGGUGUCUUCCUUCUGCAUUGUCUCAUGGUGGAAGGCAGAAGGGUGAGAGAGAGUAAGAGGGGUCAAACCCACUCCCAAUAUCAUAAAAUCCCUCCCAACAUAAUGCAUAAAUCCAUCCAUGAGGGCAGAAUUAAAUUUCAACAUGAGUUUUGCAGGGGGCAAACAUUUAAAACAUUGCACCUCUUUUGUCACUUGCCACUUCUUUCUUUUUCUGCUUUGAUGUCUUCCCAAGAGUCAUUGCAGGUUCUCAGAUGUCUUACUUGUCUCUUUUACCUCCUUCUUUGCCUUAUUUGUUUUCCUUGCUUAGAGUCACCAACAGAAACAUUACUUAGUCCAUUAGUGGGUCUAUAAGACAUAGGAAAAAAAAAACACAAAGUGUUUUUCUCUACGCUCACACAGUCACUAUAACAUAGAACACUUUGCCUCUGGUCACCAAAACACAUGGGGGUUUUUCCCCACGCACCAACCAAGCAAUUCCAUAGCAGAUACUAGCUGGGUAUCCUCCACAAUGCAAUUCAAUUGUGACACUAUCUACCUGGAGAAAGUGUCAGAUUCCACAGGUUGAAGGCUGAGUCCCACAAGACUACCCCCAAUUUCAGAUGCUAGUUGCAAGUAGCAGAUUGACAUUUUAUACUUUUGACCCACUUGUUAUAAAUCAGGGAUUCCCAUGACCCUUUCUUGUUCAAUUAAUUUGCUAGAAUGGCUCACAGAACUUAGGGAAAAAGUGUACUUACUUUAACCUAUUUAAUAUAAAGGAUAUUACAAAGGAUACAAAUAAAUAGCCAGUGGAAGAAAUGUUAGGGUAAUAUAUGAAGGAAGGGGCUUGAAGCUUCCAUGCCUUUUCCGGGGGCACCAGCCUGCAGAAGCCCCCACAUGUUCAGCUAGCCAGAAGCUAGCCAAACCAGGUCCUUUGGGGUUUUUAUGAAGCAUUAUUAUGCAGGCAUGAUUGAUUAAAUUAUUGACCAUUAGUAAUCAACUUAGUCUUCUUCCUCUCUUUCCUGCCAGGAGGUUGGGUGGUGGGGCUAAAAACUCAAUCCUCUAAUCAUGCCUUGGUAUUUUGAAAGCUAUAUAGGGGUUGCCAGCCACCAGUCAUCUCAUUAGCAUACAAAAAAUCACUUUUCUUAUUCCAGAGAUCCCAAGGGUUUUAGGAGGUGUGGGCCAGGAAAUGUGGAGAAAGAGGUCCAAAUAUAUAUUUCACAAUAACAUAGUAGGUCAGUGGUCCUUACUGCAGCUGAGGAUCAUGAUUAGGUUUAGGAAUCUAGCAUCAGUUUGUAUCAGAAUGCAAAUAACUUCCUGGGACGUGAGAGAUAGUGUAUUCUAGUCAUGCUUAGUUAGCUUCAAGAUAGCUUGCAUCUCAUCCCAGUAAAACCACUUAUUUAUAACAUAUCAACGUAUUGACAAGGUUGAAGAGCAAGAUUGUUCUGAGGUGAGAUGCAAAUUUCAAAGGGGUGAGCACUAAUUGUUCCAGUGAUUGUUUAUUUAUUGGCUAGGACAUAAUUACUCUCUUUGAGGUUACACAUCUGCCUCCAGGUUCCUGUGUGCUUGUGCCCUUGGGAUCAGGCCAGGGCAGACUGUGAUCACUGAGAUUCAAACUCCCAGAGUAAUCAGCAAGAGCUUUCUAGAGACCAAGGCCAGGCCUGAUCCCUGAGGGAUGCAUGAGAAGGCUUGGAAUCUCAUUCUGCUAUGGUGGCUCUCUCUUGAUCUUCUUGGAGUAGCAGAAACAGCAAUGUGGGCCCAAUGGUGUGGCCUAAAUGAUCACAAAGGUAAAUGAGUAAAGGGCUCAGCAGAUGAGUAAGGAGCCUUGUCCUGAGAAAUUAGCACUGGGCUCUGCAUUCAGAAACAUGUGAUAAGCAUUGCCCAUUGCACAUUGCCUUUAUUGUGUAAGGACAUGAAAUUCCAGUUUUGCAUAGCUAGUGAUGAAUACCUGAAGGGAAUUGCAGACAUAUUUUAUUUUAUUUUUAAUUGACAGAUGGAAUUGUAUAUAUUUAUCAUGUACAUAAUCAUGCUUUAAAAUAUGUACAUUAUGGAAUGGCUAAAUCAAACUAACCUAGGCAUUAUCUCAUAUAAUUGUCAUUUUUGUGGCGAGAAGACUAAAAAUCUACCCUUUCAGCAUUUUUAAAGAAUACAAUGUGUUUUAUUAACAACAGUCACCAUUUGGUACACUAGAUCUCUUGAACUUCUUCCUCUUAUCUAACUGAGAUCUUGUAACCUUUGAUAACAGCUCCCAAGCCCUUCCCCAACCACUGCUCCACCCGUGGUAACCACCAUUCUAUUCUCAACUUCCUGGUAAUCACCAUUCUAGACACAGGGAAGACUCUCUACCCUCUGAGGGUUCAAUAUUUGAGUCUAUGAAAUAAACAGACAGUAGGCAGAGUAACAGGAGAAAAAGUACACAGUAGUUCCAGCUUAUCUUUGAUUUUUCUUUCUGCAGUUUGUUAACCUCAGUCAAAACAUCAAAUGGAAAAUUCCAGAAAUAAACAAUUCUUAAGCUUGAAAUUGCAUUCCAUUCUGAGUAGCAUGAUGAUACCUUGUGCCAUCCCACUCUGUCCUGAUAGGGACAUGAAUCAUCCCUUUGUCCAGUGUAUUCAUACUGUAGAUGCUACCUGCCCAUUACUGUAUGGGAAAAUAUAUAGAAUAUAUAGGGUUCAAUACUCUUCACAGUUUCUGGCAUCCACUGGGGGUCUUGGGAUGUAUUCCUUGUGGGUAAGGGGGGACUAUGAUACAAAGGUAUUACACGCAUGGGGGCAUCACAUGAAGGAAAAGAGAAUACCCCAAAUCCCAGUGAGAUCUAGAAGAGUAUACACCUUCUUUGUAGGAGAGAAGGCAUGGGGGAUGUAAGCGACUUAGCCUAGUUUAAGUGAUUUUUGGAAAAGGUGAAUGGAGCCAGGCAUAAUGGCUCACACUUAUAAUCCUAGUACUUUGGGAGGUUGAGGUAGGAGGAUUGCUUGAGGCCAGGAGUUUGAGACCAGCCUGAGCAACAUAGUGAGACCUUAUUUCUACAAAAACAUUAAACAAUCAGCCAGGCAUGGUGGUGUGCACCUGUAGUCCCAUCUUGGGAGGCUGAGGUGGGAGAAUUCUUUGAGCCCAGGAGAUGAAGGUUGCAGUGAGUUAUGAUUGCACCACCACACCAUAGCCUGGAAGAAAGAGAGAGACCUUGUCUCUAAAAAAAAAUUAAAAAUAAAUAAAUAAUUAAAGAUGAAUAGCCCUCCAGAGAAGUAGGUGACAGCCUGUGACAAAGUCUGUCUGGUCCUGGCAUCAACCUCCCGGCUCCUCUGCUGUGAUCUGAGUUUAAUCUUCCUUGGUUGAUGAGAUUCCCUGGGAGGGCAUUCAUGACAGUUGUGCUCCUCUUGGAGGAUCUGUCUUUAGGUACAUUAAGGAAGUUCAGAGGAAGCCCCUUUCUGCAUUUACUAUUCCUAAGUGCCCUCAGUUUUAAGUCUAAAACAAUACAUUUUGGGGCGGCAUUUUCUGAAUUCCUUCAAGAUCAACUUUUUUAGAUUCUGCAUAUGAGUGAGACCAUGCAGUAUUUGUAUUUCUGUGCCUGGCUUAUUUUGAGAGAAGAGAGACAGACCCUUUCAUGUUGUUUUAUCCUCAGAAAAGGCAAGAGAAGCAAAACUAAAGGCAGGUAGGCUGGCGCCUAGGAACCAGACCCGAAACCAAGACCUGAAAACCAGACCUGAAACCAGGCCUGGGCCUGCCUGACCUAAGCCUGGUAGUUAAAAUUCGACCCCUGACUUAGCAACUGAUGUUAUUUAUAGAUUAUAGAAAGACAUUGUAAAACUUCCCGGUCUGUUCUGUUUCACUCUGACCACCGGUGCACGCGGCCCCUGUCACGUACCCCCUGCUUGCUCAAUCAAUCAUGACCCUCUCACGCGGACCUCCUUAGAGUUGUGAGCCCUUAAAAGGGACAGGAAUUGCUCACCUGGGGAGCUUGGCUCUUGAGACAGGAGUCCUGCCGAUGCUCCCGGCCGAAUAAACCUCUUCCUUCUUUGACUCCGUGUCUGAGGAGUUUUGUCUGCAGCUUGUCGUGCUACAAUUUCACAUAACAAAAUAUGUUAUAGCAGACUCGUCUGACCUCCAUAGAUCCAGCUGCAGAGAAUAGACCCCAGGUUCUGUUCCUGGGUGGUAAGCAAUCAUUCCCAGGCAGUAUGGCUGGGAUCACUUUGGACUCCUCCAGAAACCACCACCGUCCUCAGGAUCAGGAAGGAUGAGACACUUGGACCUUGUCCACCCUGUAUAGCCUGAACCCGGGGGGGGUCUUCAACAUGGAGAUAGAUAGAUAGGUCUGAUUUUUCCAGCUGAAGCACACUUGCAAAGGUCAGCACAAAGCCAGAAACCCAGUAGGUUCUGCCAGCCGCAGCAGACAGUGCCCUGCAGGAAACUUGGUUUUGGGCCUGGGGUGACUUUUGUUUACACUGUUGUCUUACUUGGCUGGGAGCUCUCCCUGGGAGAGUGAAGAGCUGAUGCAGAGAAAUGGCCGAGUGCGGGAGAAAUGGGUUUCCACCAAAGUGAUUUGCUCAAUUUUCUUUUUCUGUAUAUCCUUAUACAUUUUAAGGCAGAUUUAUUGCUAGUAAAAGUGCUGGCUGGACAAAGCUCUCUCAUGCUGUGCGCUUGCUUUUUCUUCUCCUGAAUGUUUUUAAACCUCUCUAGGUGUUUUGUCUUUUUGACAUAGACUGGCAGAGUAGGCAUCCUGGAUUCCCGGUUCACGGCUGUAGGGGCUUUGCUGGCUUGCUGGCUGCCCAGCCUAGCCAACUCCAGCCCUGCAGGGCCCACUCAGCGGGCGUACAGCACCAGAUGGAGAGAGGGAAGGCAGACCCAGCAAGAAUCCUCAAGAAGAGGAGCUAGCAUCCCGGGGAAGAAAAAGAUCGUGCAGGACCAGUUGGACAAGAGCCCAGCUCUGAGUAACUCCCUGCAUUCAGGGAAAAUAAAAUCACAAAUGAGAACAGCAGGGGGCCAAGGACCAGCUGGAGACAAAAGGGUGUUAGCUUCGGGGUGGGGGCUGUGAGACAAGCAAGGUUCUAGUGAGAUAUUCCAAAGUCUGGCCUGCCAUGGACAGCUGCCAUCCGAGCUGCAGGCCUGGAAUGUUGUCACAAGCUCACCGAGCCAUCCUGUCUGCCUCAGCCCAGGACCCGGAAAGACUGAUGAGACAAGAAAGGCCUUGGGCUUCCUCUUGCCUCCUGCAUCUUUUAGCCUUCCCUGAACAACCCUGGCAACUUAGCAGCUAAGGCCAAGAUCCCUUCCCUUAGGCAACUGACAGCAAAAGGAGGAAAAAGAGGAGGAGAGGAAAGACAAGGAGGAGGAGAGAAGAGAAGGAGGAAGAUAAGAUCCUGAAGUUUCCAGACCACAUAAGUUUCAGAGCAAAGGCUUCUCCUCACCACCCUCAUUCCUGAAACACUAACUCCCCACCAGCAGCUGAAACGGUCUUUCCGGAGGGUUAUGAGCUCUCCACAUUUCAGAACAGUGAAUAGAAAUAUAAAUCAAUAGGAAGGGGGUGGCCUCAGCCUGGCUGUCCCUGUCCUGUUGGGCAUGCCACUUGCUCUGUCUCAUCCUUGAUUAGCAAAUCAUCCCUGCCUGCAUUCAGACAGAACUUUUCAUCCUGGAAGAUCACAGGCCACGUGCCAAGUCAGAGAGCAUCUCUCUGCUGCCUAAUAAGGCACAACUCAGAAGAUUAAAGACUUCUUCCUCCUCCACCCUGCCCAGAAACAAGAGGAACAUGAGUCCCAUUUAGUUAUUUCUGUGCAUUAACUGGUGAUCAUUGCUUGAUCUGACUUAAGGCUUUUGAGGCAUUUUCCCACCUGGAUAAAGAUAGGGCUUGAAAAAAGGAAGCCCCAGUGUGUGGAGGGGGUUAGGCUCUCUUAAGCAUAUAAUGCAAUAUGCAUGCACAUUCAUAUUCAUUGUGUGUGCAUACAAAUAUAUGCAUACACAUAUCUAUGUCUAUAUCUAUGUAUAAAUGAAACCAUUAUACAUUUCAAAAAUUUGUAUAAUGCAUUAUAUUACAAAAUAAAAGUAUAUGCAUAUCUUUUAUCACAUUUGUUGUGAUUCACAUGCCAACUUUGCAAGAUACAUAUACCAUUAGAACCCUCAUUUUUUAGAGGAAAUUAAA
rnacentral:lncRNA from 1 species